GGUGUAGGUGGCUUUGUAAGUCAGGUGUGAAAGCCCAGGGCUCAACCCUGGAAGUGCAUUUGAUACUGCGAAGCUUGAGUGUGGGAGAGGCUACUGGAAUACCUGGUGUAGUGGUGAAAUACGUAGAUAUCAGGUGGAACACCGGAGGCGAAGGCGGGUAGCUGGCCCAACACUGACACUCAGACCCGAAAGCGUGGGGAUCAAACA
rnacentral:rRNA from 2 species